rnacentral:rRNA from 1 species
CUACCAUGCAAGUCGAGCGGCAGCGGGAAAGUAGCUUGCUACUUUUGCCGGCGAGCGGCGGACGGGUGAGUAAUGCCUGGGAAAUUGCCCAGUCGAGGGGGAUAACAGUUGGAAACGACUGCUAAUACCGCAUACGCCCUACGGGGGAAAGCAGGGGACCUUCGGGCCUUGCGCGAUUGGAUAUGCCCAGGUGGGAUUAGCUAGUUGGUGAGGUAAUGGCUCACCAAGGCGACGAUCCCUAGCUGGUCUGAGAGGAUGAUCAGCCACACUGGAACUGAGACACGGUCCAGACUCCUACGGGAGGCAGCAGUGGGGAAUAUUGCACAAUGGGGGAAACCCUGAUGCAGCCAUGCCGCGUGUGUGAAGAAGGCCUUCGGGGUUGUAAAGCACUUUUCAGCGAGGAGGAAAGGGUCAGUUAGC